GAGAGCGUAGUUUAACUGAAUAAAACAUCGGUCUACGAAACCGUAGCUUGCUUCCCGGAGGGUAGACGUGGGGGUUCGAUUCCCUCCGCUCUCG
rnacentral:tRNA from 1 species